rnacentral:rRNA from 1 species
CCUACGGGUGGCUGCAGUGGGGAAUAUUGGACAAUGGGCGAAAGCCUGAUCCAGCCAUGCCGCGUGUGUGAAGAAGGCCUUCGGGUUGUAAAGCACUUUCAGUGGGGAAGAAAGCCUUGGGGCUAAUACCCUCGAGGAAGGACAUCACCCACAGAAGAAGCACCGGCUAACUCCGUGCCAGCAGCCGCGGUAAUACGGAGGGUGCGAGCGUUAAUCGGAAUUACUGGGCGUAAAGCGCGCGUAGGCGGUCUGAUAAGCCGGUUGUGAAAACCCCGGGCUCAACCUGGGAACGGCAUCCGGAACUGUCAGGCUAGAGUGCAGGAGAGGAAGGUAGAAUUCCCGGUGUAGCGGUGAAAUGCGUAGAGAUCGGGAGGAAUACCAGUGGCGAAGGCGGCCUUCUGGACUGACACUGACGCUGAGGUGCGAAAGCGUGGGUAGCAAACAGGAUUAGAUACCCUGGUAGUC